AUUUUACUGUCACUCUCGUCAAUGCACUUCCAUCUCUUUUUCCUUCAAAACUACACCACCAAAGCGGCUGGGAAGUGCCAGUGAGGCUCUCCUUCAUAUCCUCAAGCCGGGUGAAGAUGCUAUACUUUACCUGGAGAAGCGGCCUCUCUCCUCCCCAGUGCUGCUUUUUGAUGGGACAACCAGCAUUGUUGCUGUAGGAAAUAUACCAGUGACCACUCUCCCCUUGGAGGAUUUCUGGGAAGGAAUGUUGGUGUUGAUGGCAUAUUACUACACCUUGCACUUAACAUACCCGAAAUGUGUUGCAACGGUCCUCUCUGUCAUACAAACUGAGGUAAUCACUGAUGCCAUCCAUGAUCAAGAUGCCACUAGUGCAUAUAAGAAAGCAAUAGCUGAGUGGAAGUCAUUCUUUGAAAAAUAGGUGAAUACCAAGCAGAAUUUUAUCAGGUCAUUUGCAGUUUGUUUAGUUUUGUAGUACGUUUGUACAACUUUGUUCCUAAUUUGGCUAGCAAUGUCCUGAGAAACUGCUUUACUUAUAAUGCCUUACAAAUGAAAGUUGUUGGGUUUUUUUUCUCUUAAUGACACUUUACUUGAGGCAUGUAAAGUUUUAAGUCAGUAAUGCCGUUAUUUACAACAUUGUGAGACUAUGUGACUGUCACAAAAGUUUAAGGCUAAAAAUGUAAUUUUUUUUCUCUGUUUAGGCCUUCUAAAGGGUUGAUUUAGACUUUUAGGGAUUGUGCAGCAGCCCUAUAUUGUUUUAAAAAAGGGUUUUGUUCUCAUGAGAGGAAUAAAUGUUGACAUAUAUCACUCUUGUCCUGGCUGUGAUUUCAGUAGAAGCCAAGGAGUAUUCUAGGAAAAAGGUCUGUUUUAAGGUUUUUUUGCUUGGAUUUAAUAUCGAUUAGGCUAUAUUUUAAGAUAAGCCAACCUGAAUCAAGAAACAAAUUAAUCAUACUUCACUAAUAUUGAGUAGUUUUUCAUAGUAUUAGAACUAUUUUUCUCAUUGCAGUGCAUUCAUUUGCUGCAAGUAAGAAUUCAAAACAUAAAAAAGACUGUAAUUUAGCAUAUUUAACUUAC
ensembl:lncRNA